rnacentral:rRNA from 1 species
GCUCAGAACGAACGCCGGCGGCGCGCCUAAUACAUGCAAGUCGAACGAGAAUGUGUAGCAAUACACACGUACAGUGGCGAACGGGUGAGGACUACAUGGGUAACCUACCCUCGAGUGGGGAAUAACUAGCCGAAAGGUUAGCUAAUACCGCGUACGCUUCCCAGACUGCGGUUUGGGAAGGAAAGCGAUACCGUGGGUAUCGCGCUCUUGGAUGGGCUCAUGCCCUAUCAGCUUGUUGGUGAGGUAACGGCUCACCAAGGCUUCGACGGGUAGCUGAUCUGAGAGGAUGAUCAGCCACACUGGCACUGCGACACGGGCCAGACUCCUACGGGAGGCAGCAGUAAGGAAUAUUGCGCAAUGGGCGAAAGCCUGACGCAGCGACGCCGCGUGGGGGAUGAAGGUCUUCGGAUUGUAAACCCCUUUCGGGAGGGAAGAUGGGAUGGGGUAACCCAUUCGGACGGUACCUCCAGAAGCAGCCACGGCUAACUUCGUGCCAGCAGCCGCGGUAAUACGAAGGUGGCAAGCGUUGUUCGGAUUUACUGGGCGUACAGGGAGCGUAGGCGGUUGGAUAAGCCCUCCGUGAAAUCUCCAGGCUUAACCUGGAAAGUGCAGAGGGGACUGUUCAGCUAGAGGAUGGGAGAGGAGCGCGGAAUUCCCGGUGUAGCGGUGAAAUGCGUAGAGAUCGGGAGGAAGGCCGGUGGCGAAGGCGGCGCUCUGGAACAUUUCUGACGCUGAGGCUCGAAAGCGUGGGGAGCAAACAGGAUUAGAUACCCUGGUAGUCCACGCCUUAAACGAUGGAUACUAAGUGUCGGCGGGUUACCGCCGGUGCCGCAGCUAACGCAGUAAGUAUCCCGCCUGGGAAGUACGGCCGCAAGUUGAAACU